rnacentral:rRNA from 1 species
UACGAAGGGGGCGAGCGUUGUUCGGAUUUACUGGGCGUAAAGGGCGCGCAGGCGGUUCUGUUUGUCGAGUGUGAAAGCCCCGGGCUCAACCUGGGAACUGCGCGCGAAACGGCGGAACUAGAGUUCGGGAGAGGAGAGUGGAAUUCCCAGUGUAGAGGUGAAAUUCGUAGAUAUCGGGAGGAACACCGGUGGCGAAGGCGGCGACCUGGACAGUAACUGACGCUGAGACGCGAAAGCGUGGGUAGCAAACAGG